AACGCACAUUGCGCCCUCUGGUAUUCCGGAGGGCAUGCCUGUUCGAGCGUCAUUACAACCCUCAAGCUCUGCUUGGUAUUGGGCUCUGCCGGUCCUGGCAGGCCUCAAAGUCAGUGGCGGUGCCACCCGGCUCCAAGCGUAGUAAUUCUUCUCGCUUCGGAGGCCGCGGUGCGUGCUUGCCAGCAACCCCCAAUUUUUUCAGGUUGACCUCGGAUCAGGUAGGGAUACCCGCUGAACUUAA
rnacentral:misc_RNA from 1 species